rnacentral:rRNA from 1 species
CACGAAGGUUGGCUAAUCCUGGUCGGACAUCAGGAGGUUAGUGCAAUGGCAUAAGCCAGCUUGACUGCGAGCGUGACGGCGCGAGCAGGUGCGAAAGCAGGUCAUAGUGAUCCGGUGGUUCUGAAUGGAAGGGCCAUCGCUCAACGGAUAAAAGGUACUCCGGGGAUAACAGGCUGAUACCGCCCAAGAGUUCAUAUCGACGGCGGUGUUUGGCACCUCGAUGUCGGCUCAUCACAUCCUGGGGCUGAAGUAGGUCCCAAGGGUAUGGCUGUUCGCCAUUUAAAGUGGUACGCGAGCUGGGUUUAGAACGUCGUGAGACAGUUCGGUCCCUAUCUGCCGUGGGCGCUGGAGAACUGAGGGGGGCUGCUCCUAGUACGAGAGGACCGGAGUGGACGCAUCACUGGUGUUCGGGUUGUCAUGCCAAUGGCACUGCCCGGUAGCUAAAUGCGGAAGAGAUAAGUGCUGAAAGCAUCUAAGCACGAAACUUGCCCCGAGAUGAGUUCUCCCUGAGACUUAGAGUCUCCUGAAGGAACGUUGAAGACGACGACGUUGAUAGGCCGGGUGUGUAAGCGCAGCGAUGCGUUGAGCUAACCGGUACUAAUGAACCGUGAGGCUUAACCUUACAACGCCGAAG